rnacentral:snRNA from 1 species
AUCACUUCUCGGCCUUUUGGCUAAGAUCAAGUGUAAUAAUUUAGGGGUUAUUUUGUAAUGUUUUUAAGACCAACUUUUUAAGUUUUUUUAAGGCUAAGCAUACUCUCAUAGUGAGCUAAGUGUACACUAU